UACGUAGGGUGCGAGCGUUGUCCGGAAUUACUGGGCGUAAAGAGCUCGUAGGUGGUUUGUCGCGUUGUCCGUGAAAACUCACAACUCAAUUGUGGGCGUGCGGGCGAUACGGGCAGACUGGAGUACUGCAGGGGGAGACUGGAAUUCCUGGUGUAGCGGUGGAAUGCGCAGAUAUCUGGAGGAACACCGGUGGCGAAGGCGGCAUCCUGGACCGAGAUUGACGCUGAUGCGCGAAAGCCAGGGGAGCAAACGGG
rnacentral:rRNA from 1 species